UGGCUCAGAGGGUAAAGCGUCUGCUUGCCAUGCAGGAGAUCUGGGUUCAAUCCCCAG
rnacentral:tRNA from 1 species